rfam:Macaca mulatta chromosome 7, whole genome shotgun sequence.
UUUUUUGUAUAAGUAUAUCCCAUGCAAUAUUUGGGAUAUACUUAUCCUAAAA